rnacentral:rRNA from 1 species
CUCGAGACGGCGGGGUAGAGGCCCGCCGCGGUAACGACGGGUAACGGGGAAUCAGGGUUCGAUUCCGGAGAGGGAGCCCGAGAAACGGCUACCACUUCCAAGGAAGGCAGCAGGCGCGCAACUUACCCUAAUCUCGAUUCGAGGAGGUAGUGACAAGAAAUACCGAUGCGGGACCCUACGGGUGCCGCGUUCGGAAUGAGUACGAUUCGAACCACCUAACGAGGAACGAUCGGAGGGCAAGUCUGGUGCCAGCAGCCGCGGUAAUUCCAGCUCCAAUAGCGUACGUUAAAGUUGCUGCAGUUAAAAAGCUCGUAGUUGAACGUUCGGGUUCCGCGGGACGGGGCCGCCCCGCGAGGGACGGCGCCGCCCCGGGGCUCGUGAUAUCUCAUCUCGCCGCCCGUCGCGAGGCGGACGGAGGGAUGGAUGAGGUUACCUGGAAAAAAUCGGGG